UUAUUUUUAGACUUUUUGAUGAAGGCCAUUCUGACAGGUGUGAGGUGGUAUCUCAUUGUGGUUUUGAUUUGCAUUUUCCCCACAAUUAGUGAUGCUGAUCAUCUUUUUAUGUUCCUGUUGGCCAUUGUAUGUCUUCUUUGGAAAAAUGUCUACUCAGGUCUUCUGCCCAAUUUUUAAUUGGGUUGUUUGGUUUUUCAAUAUUGAGGUGCCUGGG